rnacentral:rRNA from 1 species
GAUGAACGCUGGCGGCGUGCCUAAUACAUGCAAGCCGAGCGAACGGACGAGAAGCUUGCUUAUCUGAUGUUAGCGGCGGACGGGUGAGUAACACGUGGAUAACCUACCUAUAAGACUGGGAUAACUUCGGGAAACCGUAGCUAAUACCGGAUAAUAUUUUGAACCGCAUGGUUCAAAAGUGAAAGACGGUCUUGCUGUCACUUAUAGAUGGAUCCGCGCUGCAUUAGCUAGUUGGUAAGGUAACGGCUUACCAAGGCAACGAUGCAUAGCCGACCUGAGAGGGUGAUCGGCCACACUGGAACUGAGACACGGUCCAGACUCCUACGGGAGGCAGCAGUAGGGAAUCUUCCGCAAUGGGCGAAAGCCUGACGGAGCAACGCCGCGUGAGUGAUGAAGGUCUUCGGAUCGUAAAACUCUGUUAUUAGGGAAGAACAUAUGUGUAAGUAACUGUGCACAUCUUGACGGUACCUAAUCAGAAAGCCACGGCUAACUACGUG